rnacentral:tRNA from 1 species
CGGGGCGUAGCUCAGCCUGGUUAGAGUGCCUGGUUUGGGACCAGGAGGCCGGAGGUUCGAAUCCUCUCGCCCCGACCA